rnacentral:rRNA from 1 species
AGAGUUUGAUCCUGGCUCAGGAUGAACGCUAGCGGCAGGCCUAAUACAUGCAAGUCGAACGGUGGGUAGCAAUACGCAUAGUGGCGCACGGGUGCGUAACACGUAACUAACCUACCUAUACCUGGGGGAUAGCCCGCCGAAAGGCGGAUUAAUACCGCAUACGCUCUUUACCUGGCAUCAGGUGAUUAGUAAAGAUUUAUUGGGUAUAGAUGGGGUUGCGGGUCAUUAGCUAGUUGGUUGGGUAACGGCUGACCAAGGCGACGAUGACUAGGGGAGCUGAGAGGCUGGUCCCCCACACGGGCACUGAGAUACGGGCCCGACUCCUACGGGAGGCAGCAGUAGGGAAUAUUGGGCAAUGGGCGAGAGGCUGACCCAGCCAUGCCGCGUGCAGGAUGAAGGCUUUCUGAGUCGUAAACUGCUUUUGCCAGGGAAGAAAAAAGCGGAUGCGUCCGCUACUGACGGUACCUGGUGAAUAAGCACCGGCUAACUCCGUGCCAGCAGCCGCGGUAAUACGGAGGGUGCAAGCGUUGUCCGGA